rnacentral:lncRNA from 1 species
UUAUUUUUAUGUGUUAAAAUAUUUUAUUUAACGUGGAAUUUUAAUUAAGUUAAUAACUAGAGUUAUUUAUCGAGUACUUUAGUUAUUAAGCGAAUAGUGAGAGUUAACGUGUUAUUGGGCCAAGCCAAUUGGGCUUGAGGCCCAAUGGGCCUUGUGUGUGUGUGUGGCGCCAUAUGGCAUGAAGCAAGGGAGAGAACAUUUCAUUUCUCAUGGUUCUUGUGUUCUUGAGAGGAGAAGAGGAGAGCUUGGGAGCUAGAGCAAGGGGAGAGCUAGGGAUUCGAGAUCUUCGUCGUGUUUUCUUCGAAUCCAGG